AGUUCCUCUCCUCCGGGUUAUCAUCUCCCAUCGUUCUGAGAGGAGGGAACCCCUUUGGGCUGCUGCUAUUAUUAUUCCUGUUUGAUCGAUGAGGAACCUGGGGCUUGGAGAGAGCCUCUCUGCAGGACACAGAGCUGAGGAAUUCCAUGUGUGACUGACUGAAUGACAGGACAUGGAACAUGGGUGACCGUCGCUACGUCACUUCAGUUCCAAAGAGGCAAUGUAAGAGUUUGCCCAAUGAUGCUUCUCCAGUUGCUUCGGCUUGCAGGAUUGCAGGUGAGGGAACCGAGGAUCACAGAUGUUAAUGACUGCUCAAGGUCAUUCAGCUGGGCUCAAGGGACCACGACAGGCUCAGGCCAUUACCCAUGGAGCUGGCCAGGGAGAGCCUACCUGUCAAACUGGCUGGAACGUAGCAAGAUAAACUCCUGUUGCUUGCACCGGUGAUUCAAAUGUACAUCCUUCGAGAACCAAAAGAAGCCCAUAUUGGACUCAGAAUCUGCCUCCAGCCAGUCCUCCAUUGUGAGCCAGCCAGCCAG